UGUUUACAUCACUUACUAAAUCUUGUGAAUUACAGAAAAAGAAAACAAGUAGGCGUCUGAACUUUAUUUCAGCAAGUCAUAAAGCAGUUUGUCUGUGAACAUAUCAGAUUCACUCCUCCGUUUGAAAAACUAAUAAGAUCUGAAAACUAUUUAACAAGCGAAAUAAAGCAAGAAAAUGGCAGCAGCUACAGCACAGAAAUUUAACGAACGUUUUCAGACGUUUAUGACGGGGCUCAACGAUCGCUAUGAGCCGCAUGUGCGCCAGCACCUGGCCAAGGUGUACAUGGUCUUGGGCAGCACUGCAGCCGCGACAACUGUGGGAGCCCUCUGCCAGAUGCGCGAUGUGCUAGAUCUCGGUGUGCUGGCUGCCCUGGCCACGCUGGUGCUGGUUUUGGGGCUGCAUUUCUACAAGGACGAUGGAAAAAACUAUCGCACACGUUUGAGCAUGCUCUAUGCCUUUGGAUUUUGCUCUGGGCAGACAUUGGGACCGCUGUUGGGCUACAUAAGCAGCAUCAAUCCGGCCAUUAUCGUCACGGCCCUCACUGGUACCUUUGUCACCUUUCUAUCGCUCUCGCUGGCCGCACUCCUGGCCGAGCAGGGAAAGUAUCUAUACCUGGGCGGCAUGUUAGUAAGCGUGGUCAACACCAUGGCCCUUUUGAGCCUUUUCAACAUGAUAUUCAAAUCGUACGUCGUUCAAGUGACUCAACUAUAUGUGGGAGUAUUCGUCAUGGCCGCUUUUAUAGUUUACGAUACUCAAAACAUUGUACAGAAGUGCCGCAAUGGUAACCGCGAUGUUGUACAGCAUGCCCUGGAUCUUUUCUUCGACGUAUUGAGCAUGUUCCGUCGUUUGCUCGUAAUCUUGACUCAGAAGCUCAAGACCUUUAUGGUUUAGUAGUCUAUUGAAGAAAAUCCAAUCAAAUGGUCGCCGAACACUUUGCAAUAGUUUUCCCCAAGUCAAAAAUCUCUUGAGAUUAAAAAAUUCAGACGGAGGAGCGAAAGCAAAAUGAGCGCCGCAGGAGGAACUAAGGUCUGGCGGUAGCAGCAAAAUACAACCAAAAAACAAACAAUUUAUACAUCUACCAUAUGUACACUACAAAACUGAUUACGUUAGAAAAUUCUCAAUUUUUUCAAACAUACGGCCGUGCAUAUUUCGGCUCUUAAAUUACAAUACACUCAAAUGUUCAUUGUGCAAAAGCCCAGGCGAAAAAUUCUAUAUUUAAAUAAACCCGAAGUUAAAGAAAAA